AUCGACUUGACACUGACGGGAGGAGAUGAGUAAUGGAAUUCUACUUCUACCAUAUUAACUGCUUAAAAAAGAACGUUAGCAGAAUGCUAAAAGAUGCAUGAAGCAUGGAUAUGCUCUCAUCAUCCUCUUGGUUGUCCUCUUUCUGAACAAAGUUGAUCAGAUAACAGCUUUAUGAUUGCAGUUCUACACGAUGCUCUGUUAUCACAUAACGUCCUUCAAACUCUGAGUAGGACCUAUGCCCUAGGACCAUGCCUCAGGACUACCUGGCCUGAUGACUCCUUGUUGUCCCCAGUCCACCUGGUCAUGCUGCUGCUCCAGUUUCAACUGUUCUGCCUGCGGCUAUGGAACCCCGACCUGUUCACUGGACGUGCUACCUUGUCCCGGACCUGCUGUUUUGGACCCUCUCUCUACCGCACCUGCUGUCAGUCUCCAACUGACAUUUACUCCUGAGGUGCUGACCUGUUGCACCCUCUACAACCACUGUGAUUAUUAUUAUCUGACCUUGCAGGUCAUUUAUGAACGUUUGAGCAUCUUGGCCAUGUUCUGUUAUAAUCUCCACCCGGCACGGCCAGAAGAGGACUGGCCACCCCUCAGAGCCUGGUUCCUGUCUAGGUUUCUUCCUAGGUUAUGGCCAUUCUAGGGAGUUUUUCUGAGCCAACGUACAUCUAGAUCUACAUUGCUUGUUUGGGGUUUUAGGCUGGGUUUCUAUACAGCACUUUGUGACAUCGGCUGAUGUAAAACUGGCUUUAUAAAUACAUUUGAUUGAUUUAUUGAUUUAACUUUUUUGGUUACUACAUGAUUCCAUAUGUCUUCACUAUUAUUUUACAAUGCAGAAAAUAGUAAAAAAUAAAGAAAAACCCUUGAA